UCCGAGUUGACCCCGGCAGUCUCCUACGAGUCCCCACCAUUACGUGCUGGCAACAUAGGACAAGGGUUGCGCUCGUUGCGGGACUUAACCCUACAUCUCACGACACGAGCUGACGACAGCCAUGCACCACCUGUGCAGCGCCCCGAAGGACACCGUAUCUCUACGGCUUUUCGCUGCAUGUCAAGCCCAGGUAAGGUUCUUCGCGUUGCUUCGAAUUAAACAGCAUGCUCCGCUGCUUGUGCGGGCCCCCGUCAAUUCCUUUGAGUUUCAACCUUGCGGUCGUACUCCCCAGGCGGGGUACUUCCUGCGUUAGCGCCGGCACCCAGAGGGUCGCUCCCCCAGGCACCUAGUACCCAUCGUUUACGGCGUGGACUAC
rnacentral:misc_RNA from 1 species